CGAAAUGCAGCGAGGUGGCUCGGAGCAGCCCCGGGGCGGAGCUGGCGGCAGCGGGGGAGAGAAGGCGUCGCGGGCGGAGCAGAGCCGGGGCUGUCGGGGGCAGCGCAGCGCGGGCAGCGGAGCGGCGGGAUGCGGCAGUGCCGGGCCGCGGGGCUGGCGGGGCUGGCCGCGGUGCUCGUGGUGGCUGUGAGCAGAGCCCAGGUGCAGCAGGAGCCGUCGGCAGAGACCAGCGAGGGCACGGCCAUCAACAUCACCUGCUCACACCCCAACAUACAGACCGGCUAUUACAUCUAUUGGUACCGUCAUCACCCGGGCCGAGCCCUCGCAUUCCUCGCGAGCGCCCUGAAGGGCUCCAAGGAGGUGCCGGACCCGGUAGGACUGCUGUCGGUGUCGGCAGACCGCCGCUCCAGCGUCUUGUGGCUCGCCCAGCCCAGGCUCGGGGACGCGGCGGUGUAUUACUGCGCCGUGGACCCACGGGGAGGGGAGCCGGGGCUGCGGCCGGGCACGAACCGCGGCGGGCGGGCGGGGCGGGGCGGAUGAUGGGC